rnacentral:lncRNA from 1 species
GAGAUGAAAUAAUUUUGUAGGCACCAGGGGCGGAUCCAACCAUUUUAAAAAGGACCCAGAGUAAAGGGGGGUUCCAGCUAUAUGCUCCCAUUCAAAUGCAUUGAUCGGCCCAAAAAAAAAGGGGGGUUCCAACCCCCGGAACUCCCCCUCUGGAUCCGCGCCUGGGCACCUAGGACUUAUAUAUUAAAAUGUUUCCCAAAUUAAAUGAAGCAUUGGUAUAAAAAAAAAUCCAGUCAAAAUAGGAAACAUAUUUUUAAAAGGGGGUUCCAAAUCUGGAGAUAGGGUUUCCAAAUAGAUUUCCCUUUUCAAAUUUAUGCAUUUAUCGUUAAAAAGGGGGUCCAACCUUCGGACCCCUCCCCCUUCUUACGCCGAGGGGUGUACCGCACCUCCCUUUAUCCAAUCAUAUGUUUAGAAAGUCAGGC